rnacentral:rRNA from 1 species
UGGGGAAUAUUGCACAAUGGAGGAAACUCUGAUGCAGCAAUGUCGCGUGAGUGAAGAAGGCCCUUGGGUCGUAAAGCUCUUUUAUGGGGGAAGAUGAUGACGGUACCCCAAGAAUAAGCACUGGCUAACUCCGUGCCAGCAGCCGCGGUAAUACGGAGAGUGCAAGCGUUGUUCGGAAUUACUGGGCGUAAAGGGCGUCUAGGCGGCUUCGUAAGUUAGGUGUGAAAGCCCUCGGCUUAACCGAGGAAGUGCAUCUAAAACUACGGAGCUUGAGUACUGGAGGGGGCAGCGGAAUUCCCGGUGUAGAGGUGAAAUUCGUAGAUAUCGGGAGGAACACCAGUGGCGAAGGCGGCUGCCUGGCCAGAUACUGACGCUAAAGCGCGAAAGCGUGGGGAGCAAACAGG